rnacentral:piRNA from 1 species
UUACGGUAGACAACGAUUGAGAAAUUAU